rnacentral:rRNA from 1 species
GAGAAGUCGUAACAAGGUUUCCGUAGGUGAACCUGCGGAAGGAUCAUUAUCGAAACCUGCCCAACAGAACGACCGACGAACUUAUGACACCACGCCGAGGGGUAGAGGAGGGGUGUGAGCCCCGAUCUCCCUCCCUCUCUAGGUUAUGUGGGCCGUUGUUUUCCUAUACGUCCAUUACUCGGGCCCUGGGAAUGUGGCACGGCACCUGGGGGCAGCAGCCUCGUAAACCCGACCUAACAACGAACCCGGCACAAACGGUGCCAAGGAAAUCAAAACAGAACAGGCAUGUCUUCGCUUCACCAUCGGUGUUGCAGGGCGUCAUCAAAACUCCGAUCUCAAAACGACUCUCGACAAUGGAUAUCUCUGCUCUCGCAUCGAUGAAGAACGUAGCAAAAUGCAAUACUCGGUGGGAAUUACAGAAUCCUGUGAACCAUCGAGUCUUUGAGCACAAGUUACACCCUAAGCCAUUAGGCUGAGGGCACGCCUGCCUAGGCAUCACGCAUUGUGUCGCUCCCCCCAGCCACCCAUGGGAUGGCCAGGUCGAGAGCGGAGAUUGUCCCCUUAUGUGUCAUGUGUACAUGCAGCCAGCCUAAAAACCGGGCCCUUUGCGGCCGACAUCAUGACGAGUGGUGGUUGGACGUCAUGCACACUUGACCACACACAAGGCCUCGGAGACCCUGAAGAGCUAUAGUCAAGGACAACGCUCUCACUGCGACCCCAAGUCAGGCGGGGCCACCCGCUGAGUUUAAACAUAUCAAUAAGUGGAGGAAAAGAAACUUACAAGGAUUCCCCUAGUAACGGCGAGUGAAGC